rnacentral:rRNA from 1 species
AUUGAACGCUGGCGGCAGGCCUAACACAUGCAAGUCGAGCGGUAGAGAGAAGCUUGCUUCUCUUGAGAGCGGCGGACGGGUGAGUAAAGCCUAGGAAUCUGCCUGGUAGUGGGGGAUAACGCUCGGAAACGGACGCUAAUACCGCAUACGUCCUACGGGAGAAAGCAGGGGACCUUCGGGCCUUGCGCUAUCAGAUGAGCCUAGGUCGGAUUAGCUAGUUGGUGAGGUAAUGGCUCACCGAGUCGACGAUCCGUAACUGGUCUGAGAGGAUGUUCAGUCACACUGGAACUGUGACACGGUCCAGACUCCUACGGGCGGCAGCGCUGGGGAAUAUUGGACAAUGGGCGAAAGCCUGAUCCAGCCAUGCCGCGUGUGUGAAGAAGGACUUCGGAUUGUAAAGCACUUUAAGUUGUGAGGAAGGGCAUUAACCUAAUACGUUAGUGUUUUGACGUUACCGACAGAAUAAGCACCGGCUAACUCUGUGCCAGCCGCCGCGGUAA